CAGAGUUCAAGCCCCUCGGGGCAGAUCUCCCACCCUUGUGUAUUCAUACCUCUGUUGCUUUGGCAGGCCGCUGGGUUUCGACUUGGCCACCGGCUCUUGGGCUGGUGUGCGCCUGCCAGAGGACCUCCAAACUCUGGUUAUCAGUGUCGUCUGAGUAUUAUACAAUCGUUA
rnacentral:misc_RNA from 1 species